CCUCGGGCAUACCUUUGUAAAAUAAGAAAAUUUAUCAAAGUUUCUUUAAUUUAUUUUGCCCCACUUUUAUUGACGCUAUGGAUGCCGCCAUGUUAACAGCUGUGCCUAAUGUAAGAUGUUAAAUCCAUUUUCAUUGGAUAACUGAAACGAAAUACUAAGGUUUGAUUGUCGGCAUACUUCUGUUUUAUCCGUUAUGUAUGCAGGUAGUCCAUAUUUCGGAUAUUUCUAGGUAAACAUAAAUUCUCACGCACCGUAUUUCCCUUUGGAAUCUUUGUUCAUACCCGUGUAGAUUUGUACCCGCUAUCGACUCUGAGAAAACAUAAUCGAUUAUCGGAAUCGGUUGGACUUUUCUAGCCGUCAAUCGGCCCAUCACUAACUUUAAUGUUAAUUGAUGAAGGGGUAGGUGGAGACAUAGACCAAAAAGAAACCCCCUCCUUCACAUUCCCUCAUUCGUCCCGUAUUUGCACCCCCUUUCCAGAAAAUCCUUGCUACGCCUAUGAACACUAUUACAGUGAUUAACUAAAAUUUAAAAGAGUGUAGAGACUAGAGUAGAUCUAUAUAUCAUGCAAAUACAAUUGAAAAUUGCCUGGAAAUGCAUUACUCCACAAAUUAUUUCCUACUGAAUAUGCCAUAAUCAAAGUGAUGGUGUAUGACUGGUGUCAUAAAUAAGUGUCCGGUAAUUCCCAGACAUGACCGAUAAUACCCACUGUGAACACCUCAGAUUGAUUGUAUACGUAACAAGUCAUAUGACGUAAUAGCGACCAAUCUAUUUUUGAGAAAUGGAAAGUACACAUGCAGCUGUAAAGUGAGAGAGGAUUUCUGUGUCUUGUUUAUGUACUGGACAGAAGAUACCCUACAUUUCUUCAAAAUAAUUGAUAAACAGAAAAAUGUUGGAAAUAUGACCCAAGCUAUGAAUUUAGUAGACUGUUGUCAAGGGAUACAGCAUUUAUGAUUGUGAAGCCACGGACAGCUUUUAGCCAAACCAAAAAUGUCGCAAAGGUUGGAGAAAUGGCUAUUUCUUUCCUGUCUGAGGAUCUGGCUAUUAUGCUGUUUGCUCAGAGGAGAUCAUUACAUGCCAGUGUUUUGUCAUUACAAAAUAAGGCUUGACAACUGUCGUGAGUAGUAAACCUGAUUGAUGAUGAAGAUACAAAAUUGUGACUGUGUCCAGUUAUAAAGCACAUCACAAAGAAAACUAUAACCAGUCCAUUGUUACACCAAAAACUCUGGCAGCUUGUUCUGUUGAAAGUCUUAUUCCCAUAAAUGAAUGAAAAUGCAAUUGAGGAGCAUUAUAAAAUUUUCACAAUAGACAAUGUAAAUGAAGAAAGAGCUGCAAGUUUUCAGAAAGGUGGUAAAAACGAAAGUUUUGACCCAAGAAGUUUGAAUAAGAAAUAGUAAAUAAAAGGGGAAAAACGGAACAGGUGGAGAUGGUUUGGAAACAGCAAGUGUUAAGGAAGAAUUUAUGUAAGAUAUAUUAGAUACAACACUAGAAAAGAGUAAUUUUGAAAAGGUAACAUAGAUUAGUGAAAAUGUCAAUAGAAUGAACUGAGAAGAAAUAUCAAAUUGCAAAUUAGAACAGCUUAUAGAUUCAGCUGAGAAAACAGGCUAGGGCAUUGGGUCUGGAGAAUUGCAUGUUGUUGAAAAUGUCGAAGUUGAACCAGAAGAUUCUUGCACUCAAAACAACAGACGAGAAUAUAUAGGAACUGGAAAUUAUAUCAAACAUGCAUGCAUUGGAAAGCUCAGAUUCUUUAGCGUUGUUAAAAAUGAAACAGGUAGUUCUGAUCAAAAGACAAAACAAUUUUUAAAACAUAACAGAUGAGGAUAUACAGGAACUGGAAAUUAUAUCAAACAUGCAUGCAUUGGAAAGCUCAGAUUCUUUAGCGUUGUUAAAAUGAAACAGGUACUUCUGAUUUUUAGUUUUAGAAAAACAGUUGUUAAAACACACUGUAAAAGCAGUACCUUGAAACACAGAUCAAGGUUGAAGAUAUAAAUGAUUAACAUAAUGGAACUUUUAAUGAUAUCCUAAUUCAGUCAUACAUGGAAUCCAUGAAGUAUUCUGACACACAGAAUCAGUCGGAUUUCAGACAUAUAGUCAGUCUGUAAUUAUGUUGAACAUUCUUUUACGUAAAGUAGCUGAGCAAGAACAGCUCUUUGUAGAUGUAGGAUGAUGGAUCAGGCAUUGAACAGACGAUGUGCAAGAACAAAAACUGUAUAAAUGGUAAAUAUGAGUAAGUGCAUUAUGUAUACAGGCUGCAAUGUUCCUGGUGAAAGGUGUUACAUGUAAGAAAAAGAGAAAGAAGAUGAAUAAAGUGUCUGUAAAUACCAAGAAACAGAAAUGUGUACAACAAAAAACAAAGUAUUCAAACAUUAGAUCAGGAUUCAAUCAUAAAGGCCAAGAUAAUAAAAAAGCAAUUGAAUCAGGGCCAAACUUUAUCUUUCUUUCUCGAAAGUAAAUAUAAAUGAAAAGUUAGUUGUAGAAAAAAUUUAAAGUUAUUAUUAAGAUAAACUCACAGAAUGUCUUAGCAGUGAAAGUUUGAAACAUGACUUGAUAGGUUUGUAGGAUUUGUCUGCAUUGAUGCAUUGAAUGUAAAUGUUUUAAGUGGAAAUGCUUUAAACUUGAAGAGGAGAGACUGCUCUACAUGUUGUUGAUGUGGGAUGAAUUCUUCAGGAUGGACAGUUUUGACAACUUUCAGCAGAAAAUAAAUUCAUUUUUAUAAGGAACUUGUAAGAAGUAAGUGAAAAGUAUAGCAGGACUGCUUUAGACACAGUGUUAAUAGUCUCCAAUGUGAGAAAAAGGUAAGUUUGUAGAUAUAUAGACAAAAUGUGUUUGUUUCAGUAUGGAUUGAAAUAUCUUUCACAGACUUGACAACUUCAAUCACCAUGGUAGUCACAAGUGAAAGAUAAGUUGAUCUUUGUUGUAAACAGAUAUAUAUGUUAGUUAUGCUGUGAAAUCAUUUCAUUUCGUGGGCAAAAAUUUCACACUUUUUGCUAAAGCAGAUAUUUCAUGACUUAUAAUUUGUCAGUUUCAACUUUUGAGCAUAAAAUUAACUGGAAAUUUAUAUUAAUGAUUUGUGAAAUCCACAAAAAUAGGUACCCAUCUAUUUUGAUGAUUGACAGCAUUCUAUGCCUUUUUACUUGUUUGAAAAAUGUGUUAAUCAGUUGUUAGUCAAGUGCUGAAAGUCAGUUUUUGCUGUUGCAACACUAACUGGAAGAUCUUGGAAUUAGAUUUAGAUUCAAACAUGCCAUGCACACCAGACAUGCAGCAACAUGACUACUGUACUUACCAGUAGUAUAAAUGUUACAGUGUUGUUAACUAUCUUUUUGCACAAGUUGUGUUGAUUAUAGUCUGGAGUUACUAAGGUGCAUAAAUUGUAUUGAGCCACACCGUGAGAAAACCAACAUGCAUUUGUGACAAGCAUGGAUCCAGGCCAGCCAGCGCAUCCGUGCAGUGUGGUCAGGAUCCAUGCUGUUGGCUUUCAAAGCGUAUUGCAGUUAGAGAAUUUAUAUGCGAACAGCAUGGAUCCUGAUCAGACUGUACUGAUGCGCAGGCUGGUUUGGAUCCAUGUUGGUCGCAAAUGCCCUAUGUUGGUUUUCUCAUGGCGCAGCUCAUUUCUAAAGUGAUAAUGCUGUAUUGAGGUUACAUGGAAUGUUAACUACUUGACUUGGUAAAAUGAAACAACAGUUUGUUUUUUUAACAAUAUUUUAUUUAUACAGCUGUGUGAACAUCUGAAUACAUUUGGAACAUUGUCUUAUAGACAUAGAUUUAAGUUCGUUCUACAUAAAUGUACUUUGAAAGUUGUAGAUUUUGUACUAUUUAGGAAAUCUAAUAUUUCAAACACUAUGCAAUAGAUAACAGUAGAAUGUUACUGUUGUAGAGAUUUUUGUCAGUGGAUGCAGUAUAUUUUAAUGUUAUAUUUUUAGAAUUAGAACUACUGUAAAACCAUUUCAUUUCGUGGGCAUGAAUUUUUGUGGUUUUGGUCAAAACGGCAAUUUCGUGGGGAUAUGAAUUCGUGGAUUUCAACUUUUGAACAUAAAAUGAAUGGGAAUUUUACUUGUUCAUUGGGAUUAAAUUUCGCGGAUUGACUCAACCACAAAAUCCAUGAAAAUUAGUCCCCCACGAAUAUUAAUGAUUUCACAGUAGGCAGAUUACGUAAAAUAAUGUAUCAUGUAUAUUUUCUUAUAUACAUGUAUCAUGUAUAUAUUUUUAGAUACAUGUAUUAUAUAUUCUUAGAUACAUGUAUAUAUUCUUAGAUACAUGUAUAAUAGAUUUGGUCAUACUUCAGAGAAGAGUUGAUGAUGUACAGCAGUAGGCACAACCAGGUUUUAUAAAGGAAUUUGCAUAGUAAAAUCAGCUGACUAACUACAGCUUUCAAGAUUAUUGAGAAGAUAAUGGUGUAAUUGCCAUUGUGACCACUGUUGAUUAUACUUAUUUACAGAAGAGAUGUUUAUAUAGAUACAUUCAUUUGAUCAGACCACUUCAAAUACUGGUUUAUUUCAAGUGUGCACACCGAACAGGUUGAUGUUUAAUUCUGUACAUUCAUUUGAUGUAACACAUCACGUACUGGUUUAUUUGUGGCUCUGCACUGGACAGGUUGAUGUUUAAAUCUGUACAUUCAUUUGAUGUAAUACAUCACAUACUGGUUUAUUUCUGGCUCCACACUGGAUAGGUUGAUGUUUGGAUCCAUUCAUUUAUUGGAUCAUAACACACAUCAUACUGAUUUACUUCCGGAGUCUGUACAGGUAGAUGAUUGAAAGUGUCACUAUCUUUCUACCAUUUCUGUGGCAGGCCACCAAGAGGCAGCCAAAGUUACUUACUUGUCUUGCAGAAUUUCAAAUGUCUUCAGAGUACUGCAUAGGAAGAUUUGAAACUUCCCUGAUUUCAUACAAAGUAUAGGAAUUUUUAGUUAAGCUGAACAUAGCUUAUAACCAAGGUGUAACUAAACUAGGGGUGGGUAUUGCCACAAAAAUUGGUAUUGCGAUAUAUUGCAAUAUUGUAUGCGGAUAUUGCAAUAUACUGCGAUAUAUUGUACCAGUUAUUUAAUGAACAAAAGCAUGACGAAUCAUACUGUCUUUUUCAAAUUUAUUCAAUUAAAAAUGAG